rnacentral:rRNA from 1 species
GGUAAAGGCGAUGAAGGACGUACUAGACUGCGAUAAGCUACGGGGAGCUGUCAAGAAGCUUUGAUCCGUAGAUUUCCGAAUGGGGCAACCCAAUGUAUAGAGAUAUACAUUACCUAUAUAGGAGCGAACGAGGGGAAUUGAAACAUCUUAGUACCCUCAGGAAAAGAAAUCAAUAGAGAUUGCGUCAGUAGCGGCGAGCGAAAGCGCAAGAGGGCAAACCCAGUGCUUGCACUGGGGGUUGUAGGACUGCAAUGUGCAAGAGCUGAGUUUAGCAGAACAUUCUGGAAAGUAUAGCCAUAGAGGGUGAUAGUCCCGUAUGCGAAAAACAAAGCUUAGCUAGCAGUAUCCUGAGUAGGGCGGGACACGAGAAAUCCUGUCUGAAUCCGGGUCGACCACGAUCCAACCCUAAAUACUAAUACCAGAUCGAUAGUGCACAAGUACCGUGAGGGAAAGGUGAAAAGAACUGAGGUGAUCAGAGUGAAAUAGAACCUGAAACCAUUUGCUUACAAUCAUUCAGAGCCCUAUGUAGCAAUACAGGGUGAUGGACUGCCUUUUGCAUAAUGAGCCUGCGAGUUGUGGUGUCUGGCAAGGUUAAGCAAACGCGAAGCCGUAGCGAAAGCGAGUCUGAAUAGGGCGCUUAGUCAGAUGCUGCAGACCCGAAACGAAGUGAUCUAUCCAUGAGCAAGUUGAAGCUAGUGUAAGAACUAGUGGAGGACUGAACCCAUAGGCGUUGAAAAGCCCCGGGAUGACUUGUGGAUAGGGGUGAAAGGCCAAUCAAACUUCGUGAUAGCUGGUUCUCUCCGAAAUAUAUUUAGGUAUAGCGUUGUGUCGUAAUAUAAGGGGGUAGAGCACUGAAUGGGCUAGGGCAUACACCAAUGUACCAAACCCUAUCAAACUCCGAAUACCUUAUAUGUAAUCACAGCAGUCAGGCGGCGAGUGAUAAAAUCCGUCGUCAAGAGGGAAACAACCCAGACUACCAGCUAAGGUCCCUAAAUCUUACUUAAGUGGAAAACGAUGUGAAGUUACUUAAACAACCAGGAGGUUGGCUUAGAAGCAGCCAUCCUUUAAAGAAAGCGUAAUAGCUCACUGGUCUAGUGAUUUUGCGCGGAAAAUAUAACGGGGCUAAAGU